rnacentral:rRNA from 1 species
UGGGGAAUUUUGCGCAAUGGGCUAACGCCUGACGCAGCAACGCCGCGUGGAGGAUGAAGGUCUUUGGAUUGUAAACUCCUGUCAGCAGGGAAAAAGCAACUGGACCUAAUACGUCCGGGAGUUGAUUGUACCUGCAGAGGAAGCCCCGGCUAACUCUGUGCCAGCAGCCGCGGUAAUACAGAGGGGGCAAGCGUUAUUCGGAAUUAUUGGGCGUAAAGGGCGCGUAGGCGGCUUUGCAAGUGACGGGUGAAAGCCCUCGGCUUAACCGAGGAACUGCCUGUCAGACUGUGAGGCUUGAGACCGGGAGAGGUGAGUGGAAUUCCCAGUGUAGCGGUGAAAUGCGUAGAUAUUGGGAGGAACACCAGUGGCGAAGGCGGCUCACUGGACCGGGACUGACGCUGAGGCGCGAAAGCGUGGGGAGCAAACAG